rnacentral:rRNA from 1 species
UACGUAGGUGGCAAGCGUUGUCCGGAUUUACUGGGCGUAAAGGGCGCGUAGGCGGCGCAACAAGUCACUUGUGAAAUCUCCGGGCUUAACCCGGAGCGGCCAAGUGAUACUGUCGUGCUAGAGUGCGGAAGGGGCUACUGGAAUUCUCGGUGUAGCGGUGAAAUGCGUAGAUAUCGAGAGGAACACCUGCGGCGAAGGCGGGUAGCUGGGCCGACACUGACGCUGAGGCGCGAAGGCGUGGGGAGCGAACGGG